rnacentral:ncRNA from 2 species
UGGGGUGACUGCGUACCUUUUGUAUAAUGGGUCAGCGACUUACAUUCAGUGGCAAGCUUAACCGAAUAGGGAAGGCGCAGCGAAAGCGAGUCCGAAUAGGGCGAAUUAGUCGCUGGGUGUAGACCCGAAACCAAGCGAUCUAUCCAUGGUCAGGUUGAAGGCACGGUAACACGUGCUGGAGGACCGAACCCACUAAUGUUGAAAAAUUAGGGGAUGAACUGUGGAUAGGGGUGAAAGGCUAAACAAGCUUGGAAAUAGCUGGUUCUCUCCGAAAACUAUUUAGGUAGUGCCUCACGUAUUACUGCCGGGGGUAGAGCACUGUUAUAGCUAGGGGGUCAUGGCGACUUACCAACCUAUGGCAAACUCCGAAUACCGGCAAGUAGCAGCGUGGGAGACAGAGCACCGGGUGCUAACGUCCGGACUCAAGAGGGAAACAACCCAGACCGCCAGCUAAGGUCCCUAACUAUGGCUAAGUGGGAAACGAAGUGGGAAGGCAUUGACAGUCAGGAGGUUGGCUUAGAAGCAGCCAUCCUUUAAAGAAAGCGUAAUAGCUCACUGAUCGAGUCGUCCUGCGCGGAAGAUGUAACGGGGCUAAGCCAUAGACCGAAGCUGCGGAUAGGCAUUCUUAGGAAUGUCUGUGGUAGGAGAGCGUUCUGUAAGCCUGCGAAGGCAGAUUGUGAAGUCUGCUGGAGGUAUCAGAAGUGCGAAUGCUGACAUGAGUAGCGAUAAAGGGGGUGAAAAGCCCCCUCGCCGUAAGUCCAAGGUUUCCUGCGCAACGUUCAUCGGCGCAGGGUGAGUCGGCCCCUAAGGCGAGGCAGAGAUGCGUAGCUGAUGGGAAGCUGGUUAAUAUUCCAGCACCGUCGUAGAAUGCGAUGGGGGGACGGAUGGCAGAAGGUCAUCGGGGUGUUGGAAGUCCCCGUUGCUGCACUAUAGAAGGCGCUUCAGGCAAAUCCGGGCGCGGAAUUCAAGGGUGUGGCUGGAUAGGGCUUAGGUCCUAAACUGAUUGGAAGCUGUUCCAAGAAAAGCCUCUAAGCUUUAAGUUCUACGAGACCGUACCGCAAACCGACACAGGUGGACGGGAUGAAUAUUCCAAGGCGCUUGAGAGAACUCAGGAGAAGGAACUCGGCAAAUUAAUACCGUAACUUCGGGAGAAGGUAUACCCCGGUAGUGUGAAGGGCUU